rnacentral:rRNA from 1 species
AGUGAACGCUGGCGGUAGGCCUAACACAUGCAAGUCGAACGGCAGCACAGUAAGAGCUUGCUCUUACGGGUGGCGAGUGGCGGACGGGUGAGGAAUACAUCGGAAUCUACUUUUUCGUGGGGGAUAACGUAGGGAAACUUACGCUAAUACCGCAUACGACCUACGGGUGAAAGCAGGGGAUCUUCGGACCUUGCGCGAUUGAAUGAGCCGAUGUCGGAUUAGCUAGUUGGCGGGGUAAAGGCCCACCAAGGCGACGAUCCGUAGCUGGUCUGAGAGGAUGAUCAGCCACACUGGAACUGAGGAACGGUCCAGACUCCUACGGGAGGCAGCAGUGGGGAAUAUUGGGCAAUGGGGGCAAGCCUGAUCCAGCCAUACCGCGGGGGGGAAGAAGGCCUUCGGGUUGUAAAGCCCUUUUGUUGGGAAAGAAAAGCAGCAGGUUAAUACCCCGCUGUUCUGACGGUACCCAAAGAAUAAGCACCGGCUAACUUCGUG